GUGCGUGCGUGCAGUGGGAAGAGGCUCGGAGUACUUAAGGGGGUUGGGGUGAAAAAAAAAGCCCAGCGUUAACGUCCCCCCCCCCGAACCGGGUGAUUACCUCGCCAUUGGUGAUGUUGAUCGCUAGAUAAAUGUCCCCGAAAGAGCCAGAUCCGAUCUUCCGCACCAGUUUGUAUUUUCCACCGACGAUAAAUUCGGCCUUGGAGCCGCUGCUGCUCGCCAUCCUGAGACGCGAAGAUGGAGGCGGGGGGCCGAGCCCCGACACCUCAGGAAGAGGAUGGAAGCCUCCGGGGCUGUUCCACCCGCGGCAGAAGUGAGAAGCGCGGCGGGCAACCUAAACCCAAGGCUCUGUCGGCGUCACGGGGCGCACAGGCGGCAGAGAGAAGCCGGAUCGCCGCCGCCGCCGCUCGCUGAAGGGCCAGGCCGCGGUUCGUGAAGGGUGGUCGCGGCUGCUGAAGCUCGGCCGCUUGUUGUUCUCGGGCGGCCGCCGCUGAUUUUUUUUCGUGGUCGCGGCGACGUCGCGGGCUGGGAAAGGGGCGCGGUGAACGAGGGCGGGCGGUACCGCUGCCACCACUGCCGCCGGCUCCGGCCCGGAGGGAAGCCGUCACUCCGCCGAGGCCGCCAUCUUGUUACUCUAGCUCCAGCCAACACAAAAUGCCCCCAGUCCCCGGGAGCCGCUUCUUCACGGCGCGGAGCACUCUGGGAAAGGGAGCUCGGGCGCUCUCUCCGUAGGGUGGGCUGACAAGGGGAGGGCGGAACCGGAUUCGCGACAGGCGCAGCCCACGCUCCCGGCGUCACCCAGUCACGCCCAGCUGCGCCUGCGCGCUGCAAUGCCUGCAGACUGCGCAGGCCCGGUGCGGCCUGUCUUUCCCACCCCUCCCACCCCCCGCCCGGGCUCACUUCCACUUCCGGCCGGCGGUGGCUCUCUUCGUGCUACCUGUUAGUCACUUCGGACCCCGGGGGCUGUGUCUUGCUGUGCGUCAGGAGAACGCGUUAGGGAGUCACCUUCUUUUUCAAAUGUGGCCAAUGAAAGCUUCUGCCCUCCUUGGGCGUCGAGUGAUCUUUCUUUCCGCGUUUGAAGCGGUUUAUAGCCUUUGAUCCUUUUUUUUUUCCAGGUCACUCUGGGGCCGUCCCCUUUUGCAGCACAGUGGGGUCGGAAUAGGUCGUGGCCUCAGACGGAAAGAGAAAAGCUACCCUGGGCGAGCUAGGUUUAGGAAGUGGUUGGUUUAGCUUACUAGUAAUUAAAAGUCCAGGGCUCCUGAAGUGUUGCUAACUCCCCUCCCCCCAUUUUUUUAAGGGCGCAUAAAGAACCUGGAAUUAGUACUCUCUGUUCGUAUCCCUUUGAAUACACUGGAUUGGAAAGGAACAAUUCUGAUAGAAACUUCAUAAUAUUAUGCAUUGAACAGGAAAACUUGACAAGAAAAUUGCGCAUAGUAAAAUUUGUUAUACCGAUCCCCAAAGAAACAGUUUCGUCUUGGGUCAUGUUGAGAAGUACAAUAUUAAUGCAAACGGUACGAAUAAAUAUUACAAAGUAAAACCGACGUUGCUUAAAACUUAAGGUAAUUUUUGAUUUAAAACGGAUAAAACAGGACUUGACCAUAUUUUCAGGUACAAAAUUUUUUACUGAAAAUUGAGUGUGAGAAUUAAGGUUUACAAAAGCUUCCUCGGGUGCUAUGAAACACGAAUAUAGCCUGGUUUGUAAACAUUUAAGUCAACCCUAAAAUAAACAUUAAAA
rnacentral:lncRNA from 1 species